rnacentral:misc_RNA from 1 species
GAUGAAGAACGUAGCGAAAUGCGAUAAGUAAUGUGAAUUGCAGAAUUCAGUGAAUCAUCGAAUCUUUGAACGCACAUUGCGCCCGCCAGUAUUCUGGCGGGCAUGCCUGUUCAAGCGUCAUUUCAACCAUCAAGCCCCCGGCUUGUGUUGGGGACCUGCGGCUGCCGCAGGCCCUGAAAAGCAGUGGCGGGCUCGCUGUCACACCGAGCGUAGUAGCAUACAUCUCGCUCUGGGCGUGCUGCGGGUUCCGGCCGUUAAACCACCUUCAUAACCCAAGGUUGACCUCGGAUCAGGUAGGAAGACCCGCUGAACUUAAGCAUAUCAAUAAGCGGAGGA